GUGAGGAAUUUUCCGCAAUGGGCGAAAGCCUGACGGAGCAAUGCCGCGUGAAGGAUGAAGGCCUAUGGGUUGUAAACUUCUUUUCUUAGAGAAGAAUAUUGACGGUAUCUGAGGAAUAAGCAUCGGCUAACUCUGUGCCAGCAGCCGCGGUAAGACAGAGGAUGCAAGCGUUAUACGGAAUGAUUGGGCGUAAAGCGUCUGUAGGUGGCUUCAAAAGUCUCCUGUCAAAGAUCAGGGCUUAACCCUGGGCCGGCAGGAGAAACACUGAGGGUAGAGUUUGGUAGGGGCAGAGGGAGUUCCCGGUGGAGCGGUGAAAUGCGUAGAGAUCGGGAGGAACACCAAAGGCGAAAGCACUCUGCUGGGCCACAACUGACACUGAGAGACGAAAGCGAGGGGAGCAAAAGGGAUUAGAAACCCUGGUAGUCC
rnacentral:rRNA from 1 species